UUAUAAAAGAGGGCGGCAAUCUGGUCCCGCGCCCGGCGCGCGCACUCCCGACUCUUUCCUCAUGGGGCGCGCUACCUCCACUCGAUAGUACCUACAAAACAAAAAAUACAUUUUUAUGUAUCUGACAUACCAGUGAAGGGACCAAGUGAUAAGUGAUACGAACUGACGGCAACGUAGUAAUUCCACCAUGGAGGACGCUCACUCGAAAUCCGUGGAAGAAGUCUUAGGGUACUUCGGUACAGACCCAGACAAAGGCCUUAGUGCAGACCAAGUGAAAAGGAACCAAGAUAAAUAUGGGCCAAAUGAACUGCCUGCGGAGGAGGGCAAAAGUAUAUGGCAGUUAGUCCUGGAACAAUUCGAUGACCUCUUAGUAAAGAUUUUGCUGUUAGCCGCUAUUAUUUCAUUCGUUUUAGCUUUAUUUGAAGAACACGAAGACGCAUUCUCCGCCUUCGUAGAGCCUUUUGUUAUUUUACUUAUUCUUAUUGCUAACGCUGUAGUAGGAGUAUGGCAAGAAAGAAAUGCCGAAUCCGCCAUCGAAGCUUUAAAAGAAUACGAACCCGAAAUGGGUAAAGUAAUCAGAGGAGACAAAUCCGGUGUACAGAAAAUCCGAGCCAAAGAAAUCGUACCCGGUGAUGUCGUUGAGGUGUCAGUCGGUGACAAAAUCCCCGCUGACAUCCGUCUUAUUAAGAUUUACUCCACCACCAUCCGUAUUGAUCAGUCCAUCUUGACCGGAGAGUCCGUCUCCGUCAUCAAGCACACAGACCCCAUUCCCGACCCCCGCGCCGUCAACCAGGACAAAAAGAACAUUCUCUUCUCCGGUACCAAUGUCGCCGCCGGCAAGGCCCGUGGUAUUGUCAUCGGAACUGGUCUCAACACUGCCAUUGGUAAAAUCCGUACUGAAAUGUCCGAGACUGAGGAGAUCAAGACACCUCUGCAGCAAAAACUGGACGAAUUCGGUGAGCAGUUGUCUAAGGUCAUCUCAGUUAUUUGCGUUGCCGUAUGGGCCAUCAACAUCGGACACUUCAACGACCCCGCCCACGGUGGAAGCUGGAUCAAGGGUGCUGUCUACUACUUCAAAAUCGCUGUCGCCCUGGCUGUCGCUGCCAUCCCCGAAGGUCUCCCCGCUGUCAUCACCACUUGUCUCGCUCUCGGUACCAGGCGUAUGGCUAAGAAGAACGCUAUCGUGAGGUCGCUGCCCUCUGUAGAGACCCUCGGUUGCACUUCUGUCAUCUGCUCCGACAAGACCGGUACUCUGACCACCAACCAGAUGUCUGUAUCCCGUAUGUUCAUCUUUGAGAAGAUCGAAGGUGGCGACAGCAGCUUCCUUGAAUUCGAAAUUACUGGCUCCACCUACGAACCCAUUGGUGAUGUUUACCUGAAGGGACAGAAGAUCAAGGCUGCUGAAUUCGAUGCUCUGCACGAACUUGGUACCAUUUGCGUUAUGUGCAAUGACUCCGCUAUUGAUUUCAACGAAUUCAAACAGGCUUUCGAAAAGGUCGGUGAGGCCACUGAAACCGCUCUUAUCGUACUCGCUGAGAAAAUGAACCCCUUCAACGUUCCCAAGACUGGACUUGACCGUCGUUCCUGCGCCAUUGUUGUCCGCCAAGAGAUUGAAACCAAAUGGAAGAAAGAGUUCACUCUUGAGUUCUCCCGUGACAGGAAAUCCAUGUCCACCUACUGCACACCCCUUAAGCCUUCUCGUCUUGGCAAUGGACCCAAACUGUUCGUCAAGGGUGCACCUGAAGGUGUGCUUGAACGUUGCACACACGCUCGUGUCGGAACUGCCAAGGUUCCUCUGAACUCGACCCUCAAGAACCGCAUCCUGGACCUCACCCGCCAAUACGGUACCGGUCGUGACACCCUUCGUUGCUUGGCCCUCGCUACCGCUGACUCCCCACUCAAGCCUGACGAAAUGGACCUCGGAGACUCGACCAAGUUCUACACCUAUGAAGUCAACCUUACAUUCGUCGGCGUCGUCGGCAUGUUGGACCCUCCCCGUAAAGAAGUAUUCGACUCCAUUGUCCGUUGCCGCGCUGCUGGUAUUCGUGUAAUUGUCAUCACUGGUGACAACAAGGCCACCGCUGAAGCUAUCUGCAGGCGUAUUGGCGUGUUCACUGAAGAGGAAGACACCACCGGCAAAUCCUUCUCUGGUCGCGAGUUCGACGACCUGCCCGUAUCUGAACAACGCGCUGCUUGCGCCAAGGCCCGCCUGUUCUCCCGUGUGGAGCCCGCCCACAAGUCCAAGAUCGUUGAGUUCCUGCAGAGCAUGAACGAAAUCUCCGCUAUGACUGGUGAUGGUGUGAAUGACGCCCCCGCUCUGAAGAAGGCCGAAAUCGGUAUUGCUAUGGGCUCUGGUACCGCUGUCGCUAAGUCUGCCGCCGAAAUGGUGUUGGCUGACGACAACUUCUCUUCCAUUGUCGCCGCUGUUGAGGAAGGUCGUGCCAUCUACAACAACAUGAAGCAGUUCAUCCGUUAUCUGAUCUCGUCCAACAUUGGUGAAGUCGUGUCCAUCUUCUUGACCGCCGCUCUUGGUCUCCCCGAAGCUCUGAUCCCCGUGCAACUGUUGUGGGUCAACUUGGUGACUGACGGUCUGCCCGCCACCGCUCUCGGCUUCAACCCCCCUGAUCUCGACAUCAUGGACAAGCCCCCACGUAAGGCUGAUGAGGGUCUGAUCUCUGGAUGGCUGUUCUUCAGGUACAUGGCUAUCGGUGGUUACGUCGGUGCCGCUACCGUCGGAGCCGCGUCUUGGUGGUUCAUGUACUCGCCUUAUGGACCCCAGAUGACUUACUGGCAGCUCACCCACCACUUACAGUGCCUCAGCGGAGGUGAUGAAUUCAAGGGCAUCGACUGCAAGAUCUUCACUGACCCUCACCCUAUGACAAUGGCCCUGUCUGUAUUAGUAACAAUUGAAAUGUUGAACGCCAUGAACAGUUUGUCUGAGAACCAGUCGCUGGUGACCAUGCCCCCAUGGUCCAACAUGUGGCUCGUCGGCUCCAUGGCUCUCUCCUUCACUCUUCACUUCGUCAUCCUAUACGUUGAGGUCCUGUCGGCCGUGUUCCAAGUGACGCCGCUGUCCGUCGACGAAUGGGUGACGGUGAUGAAGUUCUCGAUACCCGUGGUGUUGCUGGACGAGGUGCUGAAGUUCGUCGCGCGCAAGAUCUCGGACGCCCAGCCGACGUGGAAGCUGUAAGCGCCGGACGCCGUCGCAGCGCCACUGCACGCACAUAUUCCAUGAACACUCAUUGUUUGUUGUGAUCCCGCAGUGAAACUACACAUUUAAUGUUACUACGACACGGUUGUGAUAUCUGCAUAAGACCUACGAACGAGGUGGUCAUUGACAAGUGGUAAACGCCACCGAACCAUAGUUCCUCACCCGCUUCUCUCUGCUACUUCUACCGCUCUCGUCUCCCGAUAUAAUGUUAAUUGGCUUUUAGAUGUGUACAAUUUAUAAAAGACGCGUCUCGUAAGACUUGGAUUAGGCUAGGCUAGUUAGGCCAGGCCCGGCGGUGGAGGAGAGGCGCGAGUGGUGGAUGCGGCAACGAGGCGGGCCGGGGCGCCGCCCCCGUCCACCUGCUCACCUGCGCUAGUUCACCAGAGGGGACAUAAUGUUGUUCAUAAUGUGUAUAUACUACAGUAUGCUUAGGAGGUUUAAUCAAUUUGUUAUAUUACGUUGUUCUAAUUAAAGACUACAUGGUGCCCGUCGACAGAAGCAGUGCGAUAGACGAUGUGUACUUAAGUUGAGAGCACUCAUUAAUUUAUUGUUAUAUUUUUAUUAUCUUAUAAUCUAGUUUGCUUAUCUAGAGUCGAGUCAUUUCUAUUAGUGCUGACGCCUCGACGAGCAAUAUGGUGUCUGUAAGGGAAGGAUAAUUCACGAUUGUCCAGUGUUUGGGACCUGAGUCCAAAAGUUUAAACAUACCUGUACAUUUUAAUGUAUUAUUGUUUUGUACAAUAAAUCGUUAUAAACGA
rnacentral:misc_RNA from 1 species